UGAGGGUGUAGCUAGGAGUAGAUAAGAAGAUAUUUUUCUGCAACAUUAAUAUUGCCAUAAAUCCACAUAGUCAGAUCAAGUAAAUAACAAAAUUUCAAUGGGUCAUAUCUGCUCUGCAUAACUAAAUCAGCAUCUGAAUCUUCACUUCAACUCAACCUCAAAUCCUGAGAAAGCAUGGUACAAUUGGUGACAGUAGAGAGAAAUGACAGGAAGAAACAAUGAGACUAACCCCGGCUUUCCACAGGAGCCGUCAGCAGCACGUUACUGCAGCAGCACGUCAUAGCUGCUGAUAGGAACCGCUGUGGUCAACAGAACCUUUUCCACUGGAGCCGUCAGCAGCGCGAGUCGGCCGCGUCUCAGGAGCAGCAUGCACUUGUCCUGCUCAGAUGGGACUAAAAGCCUUUUGCAGGAGCCUGUUUGUCGAGAGAUGAAGACCUUUACGAAAUUCCCGAAGAAGCUACAGUGAUGUUCUGCUGAGCUGUGGUGGCCUCAUGGAGGGGGCCAUCAGCUUGAACACUGCUACUAACCACUUAAACAUUCUCCCUCUCCUGAUAAUAACAUUUUACUUUCUUUGACACUGAAUGUGCUACUACUAGUUUACCCGUCUAAUUAUAGAUUCACUAGGAUAAAUACAAUAAAGUUUAUCUCUCACCAAAUAGAAUAUUUACUAAGAAGUCACAAUGUAACCAUAGAAACACUACUUGGUACAUGUGUGUGUGAUGUGUGUUUGUGUGUGGGUGGGCUGGUGUUGGUGUAUGCGUGUGUCUGCUCUGUCUUCUCGAUCCCCAGUGAAUCGUGGUGGAUGGCUGCUUAUACUGAGCCAGGAUCCUCUGGAGGUUUAUUCCUGUUAAAGUGAGUUUUCCUCUCCACUGUCGCUAGUUUGAGGAUUGCUGUAAAGUCACACACCAGUCAGUGACUUGAUGCAGUUUGCUGGGUUCCUUAUAUAGGAAACUUUUUUCUGAUUGGCUUAAUGAACUGGGGUCUCAUUUUUCAAACAUUGCGUAGAAUCCUUACUAAAACCGUACUUAAGCUCAGAAAAAAAAGUACUUAGGCCAAGCAGGUUUGCAAUCUAUCAAACAUGGAGUACGCACAGCUGCACACAAUCUCUGCUUCAUAAAUCGGAGACUAAGGAGAAUGUUUCUCAGCUGCAUUUUAGUCACAUCCCGCCCUCACCAUGCCCACUUACUGCCAUAAAUAGUCAAUGCAAAGUGCCUUGCGGAUCUCAUGCAUAUACAUAAGCCGGCUUGUUGCAGCGCUCCGCCAAUGACGAUGGCAACCGUAGAUCAAGGCAGAUCAAGGGAAUUUCAUGAGCAGAAAUUCAGGUACGUGUGAGUGAGGUGGAGAAAUGAAAGGAAGCGCUUUUGCAAAACAAAUAAGAGAAAAUCCACGAAGUGGCACAGAGUUGCUGAAGCCGCCAAUGUUGUGAAUUCUUCAGAGAGAUCUGUGGCGGAUUUAAAAAAGAUGGUCCAUUCAGGAUUCGAUCCCCAGACUCCAGGGUGAAAGUCACACGUGCUAACCAGUCAGCCAAAUGGAGAUCUCCCCUGUACAAGUAGCCAGGGUGCAUGAUCAAUCAAGUCACAGUGACAGGACACACACACUGUCAAGGAUGCAUGACGUUCCGUCUCAAUCUGUCCCCCUGACCCCCUUAUCCUUCUCAGCAGCAGCACUGCAGGUGUUCUCCAUGUCCAAAAUGUGCGUGAGCCAGGUCCUUAGUCAACUUAAAGUUGCGCACAUUUUUCUGCUAAGUUUUCUUUCAUAAAUCCCAAAAUUUGCGUGGAAAGUUGCUUACGCAGUUUUCCGACCCCGUUUUGUGCGUAAGCAAGCUUGAUAAAUGAGGUCCCUGACCUGUAUUGGAAUGUUUACUAUGUGAAGUGCCUUGAGACGACUCUUGUCGUGGUUUGGUGCUAUAGAAAUAAACUUGAGUUGAAUUGAAUUGAAUUUCCUUUGUUGUAUGGAAGCAUUGUCAUCGAAGAAUAAGUGCAAUUUGUAUUAAAGCUAUAGUUUUUUUAAAGUGAUCAAAUGAAUUUUCUGUUCUCUUCAACAUGAAAGGAUGAAAAAUGACUACUAGGAGAAAAUCUGGAGGUCAAUAAUGAUAAAGUGUGUGAGCACAAUGUGUUUAUCUACACCUUUGCUGCAGGGAUUUGUCACGACAACCUCACUACAUGACCACCGACAUCAUUUCAACAUUCUGCAGCAUUAGCAUUUUAGAUGAAGAAUCUGUUUACUCCAGCGCUCAGAUGUAAACAAGGAGCUCUAAUCGUCCAUCACUCGACAGACUAAUUAUGAGCAUUUAUCCAACAUAAACAAACAUGUGAGAGAUGGUUACAUGCUUUGAAUAAGACAGGCUUUGAUCCGUGUUUCUGUGUGUUUCUGUGGAACUACGAUGGAGAGGAAGUUUGUUGGGUUUGUUGGCUUGGAUUAAGAACACAGACAGAGAGAAAAGUGAGGGAGGAUGGUAAGAGAGGGGGAGUGCAGACGUUUGAAAAGUGAGAUCAUACAUGGGACAUUUCACUGUUUGAUGUUUGAUUCACUAAUCUGUUGGAUAAACACAGCUCUGCUUUGUUGACACAUAUUUGGAGUAUCAAAUGAACUAAUUUUCGUUUUUAGAACCACUAUUUCAUAAUCAUGGUGGAACUAAUUAUCAAUUAAUAGAAGUUUUUGGUUGCAAUUUAUAGAUUCAGCACCAGGAUGAAAGAAAAAUCUUGUUUAAGAAUUUUAGUUUUUGAAUCUAAAAACUGUUAUAUAAGGUAAUUUGACAAUUUCUUGAAUGCAUUUUACUAAUUAUAUCAGGAUUUUUGCUCAUUAAUCUUUUCAAAUUUCCAGGUUCUUAAUUUGAUUGAAAUUUUCACAAAUGUUCAUAAAUCCGUUUGCUACUGAGCUCAAAUUUGGUGUCAAAUAUCAAAACACCUAAAGAUCCCACAAACCAGUGGAGAGAUUUGAAUUUAUAUUUUCAACUGUCAACUUCGGUAAUUACCCCCAUUUACAAUAUCUGCUACAGCUAAUCAGUAUUAGCAAACAACAAAUGACUCUCGCUUGAAAUUUUACAAACACUGAGCAGAAUGCAUUAACAGAUUGCACAAGCUGACUCAUAAGAUUAUUCCAAAAUUCCACCAAUAUUUUAAACAUUUUUAACAUGAAAUAAGUUAAAUUCUUAUAAUUUUCACAUUUUUUCCACAUUUUCCUUUUAAGACUGCUCUACCAACUGGUUUUGAAUCCUUUUAACUUAAUAAAUUCUAUAUGAUGCAAAACCUCUUGGAUGUCUUAAUUGCUGCACACAGAGAAUAAAAAAGGAGUCUGGUAUUUUAAACAUGAGGAGCAGCAGUGGUUUUGUCUCUAUGGAAGCUUCCUCACUACUCUCCCAAAAACCUUGCGAUUAGGAUCCCGACUGAGUAACGAACUACAACCAUCGACCUAUAUACUGGACAAUGUGUUUCCAUAGACUCCAAUAAUACGUUUUUAAGCCAAAAUGGGAGGUGGCCACCACCACCAUUUUGACAGUGUCACAGGUUCUGCCAAGCCCAGACAAUUCCACAAAAGGGAAAAGAGGUGGAGCUGAGGGUGGGACUGUAAGGAUGGGAUCAAAUGACGACACCCAUUGAACUAAAACGAUGUAGCUACAAGCUAACCCAAAGCUAACGCGGAGGUGGGAGCUAAGCUAACAGAGGUAGCUACCUAGCUACAACCGGAGCUAACUGUGCAUGACACCAGAGCUUCUGGGUCACAGAUGCGCCGGGCUGACCGCUGGGUAAAACCGGGCAGAACACAGAGGUCUCCCGAGAGUUCCACAAGCCGGCAGCCGUGCAGCAGACAGGAGCCGCUGCGAUCAGAGAUGCGUUGAGCUGCCGCUAUAAGUCCACACCGAUAGUUGGAACCCAGCUCCACCAACAUGUUAUAUUUCAACCCAUUUUCAAAAAUGCAGCAUUAUGCUAAAUGCACUGGGUUUUACCCUAUUAAAUUUAAAUUUCAUGGUUAAACAGUACAUGUGAAAAUCUAAGCACAGCUAGUGCAAGAGCGGCAGUGACCUAAAAUACAUAAAUAUAAUUUUACUUACUGAAAAAAAUGAAGUGGAGACUCCUUGGAUGCUCUAUUAGUGCAAUUAAUACCACAGCAAGUCAUUUAGUCCAACAAUUGCACAAAUAUUAUCCAAAAAAGAACACACAAACGCUACAACUAAUGGUCUAAGUUGAGAGACUGAAAAUCGCGGAACAGUUUUCAGGCGAGGCCGAGGCUCAGGCUGAGGCCUUUCCCCAGAGCUAGCUCUGUGGUCACGUGGGCCUGAAACUCAUGAAUUAUUCAGAAUUUUAGUCAUUUAAUACACCUAAACAGAAGAGUGACAAAAAAUUCCCACACCCUCAGAGUUGUCAUGAGUGUAAACUAGAUCUAUUAAACCUAAAACAUGUUUUGGUACCAGGCUGUAAACAUGUUUAUUUCUGCUGUGAAAUUGGUAUUUUUAACAUGGGAGUCAAUGAGGAUUUGCUCGCUUCUGACACCAGCCCCCAGCGGAUGAGGGUGGAACUGCAAUUUUUGUUACUUCCGUAUUGGCUUCAAUUUCAGACCCGAAUUAUGGGGGCUUCCCUACAACUAGAGUGCAAAUAAAGUUGAUAGGGGAGUUAGCUGUUCACCAAACAUAGUGGAAUCAAAGGUGUGUGUUAAAGUGUUUCCACCAGAGAGUCAGGCAGGAUAAUGAGUUUAGAGUGGAAAGAGGAACAGUAAAAAAAAAACGGGAAAACAAAUCAAUGAUAUUCCAUGACUGGGAACUGAUGUAAUCAAGUCAAACCAAUGCUAUUAAAUUUACCAGUCUUUUCACCAAUAUGAAUGCAUAAACUGUAGAAUCAGGAAAGACUUGGGUCUGAAUAAUAAACUGUUUUGUGUAUCGUGUUGUAUCAUAUAACAGCGGCCUUGUUAGGUGUUUCAUACCACAUUCAGGUGUGGUGACUCUCUGAGGUGUGCUUGUCCUCUCAGUUAUCAGGCCUGUCAGUGACACAUCUAGCUCACAGGUGCAGAGAAUAAAACUACAGGUGAAACUCAAAAAAUUAGAUUGUUGUAUGAAAGUUCAUUCAGUAAUUCAAGGUAAAAGGUGAAACUAAAGUCUUUAUUUGUUAUAUUUAGGAUGAUUGUGGCUUACAUCUAAUAAAAUGAAAUACCCAAACUCAAAAUCUCAGACAUUUAAAAUUUUGUGAAUAGGUUCAAUG